AAGGAAUAGCUGAUUUGCUUGAUGACGCCUUUUUUUUCUUUUCUUUUUUCUCUUUCUUUUCCUUUUUCUCUUUCUUAUCCUUGGUUAGUUUCUUCGAAAUUGAUUUCUUCAGAGGACUACGCUCCGAGCUUGAUUUCUUCAAAAGACUACG
rnacentral:ribozyme from 17 species